rnacentral:rRNA from 1 species
CCUACGGGAGGCUGCAGUGGGGAAUAUUGCACAAUGGGCGCAAGCCUGAUGCAGCCAUGCCGCGUGUGUGAGGAAGGCCUUCGGGUUGUAAAGCACUUUCAGCGGGGAGGAAGGCGGUGAGGUUAAUAACCUCAUCGAUUGACGUUACCCGCAGAAGAAGCACCGGCUAACUCCGUGCCAGCAGCCGCGGUAAUACGGAGGGUGCAAGCGUUAAUCGGAAUUACUGGGCGUAAAGCGCACGCAGGCGGUCUGUCAAGUCGGAUGUGAAAUCCCCGGGCUCAACCUGGGAACUGCAUUCGAAACUGGCAGGCUAGAGUCUUGUAGAGGGGGGUAGAAUUCCAGGUGUAGCGGUGAAAUGCGUAGAGAUCUGGAGGAAUACCGGUGGCGAAGGCGGCCCCCUGGACAAAGACUGACGCUCAGGUGCGAAAGCGUGGGGAGCAAACAGGAUUAGAUACCCGUGUAGUC